rfam:Oryza nivara chromosome 8, whole genome shotgun sequence.
UUUAAACACGACCAUAAAUUUCCGUGUCCAAUUUUGAUCGUCCGUCUUAUUUAAAAAAAAUUUAUAAUUAGUAUUUUUAUUGUUCUUAUAUGAUAAAACAUGAAUAUUACUUUAUGCGUGACAUUUGUUUCUUAUAUUUUUUUCAAAAACUUUUCAAAUAAGAUGGAUUAAAGUUAACACGGAAACUCAUAGCAGCGCUUAAA